AUGACUGUGACUGGGUCACCUUAUUUGUAAUUGAAAAUCUGCCUUUCAACUGACUUGAUGCUAUCUUAUUUUGUUCCUUUCACUCUAUAGACGGCUAGACAUCCUUCUUGUACCUUGGCGCUAGCUGGAUGACGGGACCUCAUCAUGAUCAGUGUAUUGCUUGCCUAUGUCUACAAGAACCGUCACGUGUGGCCUGUGACAGCAAGCUUUUGUGGGCAGCCAGUGCUCUCCUACGAAGGCUGGCCUACUCUGGCAGCGGCGGCAAUCAUCUUCAAGAUUUAUCCAUGAUCACCUUUACUGCUAUUUGUCACUCUUUUUAAUUACACUUUCUGCAUCUUUUCUAAUUUAUUAGGUAAUAAAGUACGAGUAUGUGACAUGG
rnacentral:lncRNA from 1 species